rnacentral:rRNA from 1 species
UACGUAGGCAGCGAGCGUUGUUCGGAGUUACUGGGCGUAAAGGGUGCGUAGGCGGUUGUUUAAGUUCGGUGUGAAAUCUCCCGGCUCAACUGGGAGGGUGCGCCGAAUACUGAAUGACUAGAGUGCGGGAGAGGAGAGUGGAAUUCCUGGUGUAGCGGUGAAAUGCGUAGAUAUCAGGAGGAACACCGGUGGUGUAGACGGCUCUCUGGACCGUAACUGACGCUGAGGCACGAAAGCGUGGGUAGCAAACAGG